rnacentral:RNase_P_RNA from 1 species
CAAGUAAUUCGCCUUAUCGCUGUUCGCUUUGCGAAUGGAGGAAAGUCCGAACACCAUAGUGCAAUCAUAGUGGUUAACAGCCAUCCAUCGAGAGGUGAGGAAAAGUGCAACAGAAAGUAUGUACAGGUUAUGCUGUAGUGAAACCAGGUAAACUCUAUGAGGUGCAAUGUCAUGUAAACUAGUGCUUGAGCGUACACGCGCGAUGCUAGAGGGUAGACAGCUUAAGUUUGCUAGUAAUAGUAAGCGUAGAUAAAUGAUAAGGAUACAACAUGAUUUUUAUGAUCAUUAGUAUACAAAAUUCGGCUUAUAGAUUUACUUAACCA